CGAGUAUCAAUGAUGAAGCAUCUCUGACUGCUGCAUGAGGCUGAGUGUGCUGUGCGGAUACCAACCUUGGAGAGCUGAGGACUCG
rnacentral:snoRNA from 1 species